rnacentral:rRNA from 1 species
GGCCAGACUCCUACGGGAGGCAGCAGUGGGGAAUCUUCCGCAAUGGGCGCAAGCCUGACGGAGCAAUGCCGCGUGAACGAAGAAGGUCUUCGGAUUGUAAAGUUCUGUCCUUAUCGAAGAGAGGGUAUAGAGUGAAAAAUGAUAUACUAGGACGGUAGAUGAGGAGGAAGCCCCGGCUAACUACGUGCCAGCAGCCGCGGUAAUACGUAGGGGGCGAGCGUUGUCCGGAAUUACUGGGCGUAAAGAGAGCGUAGGCGGCACUACAAGUCUCAUGUGAAAUACCCGGGCUUAACUUGGGGGUUGCAUGGGAAACUGUAGAGCUUGAGUACAGGAGAGGCAAGCGGAAUUCCUAGUGUAGCGGUGAAAUGCAUAGAUAUUAGGAGGAACACCAGUGGCGAAGGCGGCUUGCUGGACUGAAACUGACGCUGAGGCUCGAAAGCGUGGGGAGCAAACAGGAUUAGAUACCCCAGUA